ACUCAAAGGAAUAGACGGGGGCCCGCACAAGCGGUGGAGCAUGUGGUUUAAUUCGAUGCAACGCGAAGAACCUUACCCAGGUUUGACAUGCACCGGACAGGUGUGGAAACACAUCCUUCCUUCGGGAUCGGUGCACAGGUGCUGCAUGGCUGUCGUCAGCUCGUGUCGUGAGAUGUUGGGUUAAGUCCCGCAACGAGCGCAACCCUUGUCCCUAGUUGCCAGCAAGUACAGUUGGGCACUCUAGGGAGACUGCCGUCGACAAGGCGGAGGAAGGUGGGGAUGACGUCAAGUCCUCAUGGUCCUUACACCUGGGGCUACACACGUGCUACAAUGGCCGGUACAAAGGGUCGCAAUACCGCGAGGUGGAGCCAAUCCCAGAAAGCCGGCCUCAGUUCGGAUUGCAGUCUGCAACUCGACUGCAUGAAGGCGGAAUCGCUAGUAAUCGCUGAUCAGCAGGCAGCGGUGAAUAUGUUCCCGGGCCUUGCACACACCGCCCGU
rnacentral:rRNA from 1 species